AUGGCGACUCCCGCGAUCGCGCUCCUUGAUCAGACCCUGCCGUUCGGCAUCGGCGGCGGCGGUGGCUCGGACCGGCUCAGCAAGGAGAUCUUCUCCAUCCUCGAGUCCAACUUCCUCUUCGGCGCGCAGGCGCUGGAGCCGGCCGGGGCGUGCUCGGCGGGCCACGUGCGCGUGCUCUCCAUCGACGGGGGCGCCGACGGCGGCGCGCUCGCCGCGGCCGCGCUGGUCAGGCUCGAGCGCCGGCUGCAGGAGCUGUCGGGCAACCCCGAGGCGCGCGUCGCGGACUACUUCGACGUGGCGGCCGGGUCCGGCGCCGGCGGGUUCCUCGCGGCCGCGCUGUUCGCGCGCCGGAUGCCGGCGGAGGCGGCGCGCGACAUCGUGGCCAAGAACCGCAAGGUGUUCUCCGGCCGCCAUGGGCGUGGUGGCCUGUUCUCCCGGCCCGAGGCCGUGUUCAGGAAGGUGUUCGGGGACCUCACCGUGCGCGACGCCGCCAAGCCGCUGCUGAUCCCCUGCUACGACAUGGCAACGGCCGCGCCGUUCGUCUUCUCCCGCGCCGACGCCGUGGAGGCCGAGGCGUUCGACUUCCCGCUCUGGCAGGUCUGCGCCGCGGCGUGCGGGGUGGGCCCGGCAGAGGUGGCGUCCCUUGACGGGCGCACCAGGCUGCGCGCCGCGGCGGCGGCUGGCGGGACCGGCGCUGGCGUGGCCAACCCGACCGCCGUGGCCGUCACCCACGUGCUCCACAACAAGCGCGAGUUCCCCUUCGCCGCCGCCGCCGGCGACCUCGUCGUGCUGUCUCUCGGCGGGAACGCCGCCGCCGGGUCGGGCGCCCGCGCGUCGUCCUCCAGCCUCCUGCGCAUCGCCGGCGCGUGCCAGGCCGACAUGGUGGACCAAGCCGUAUCAAUGGCGUUCGGAGAGAACAGAGCAACCAACUACAUCCGCAUCCAGGGCAACAGCAUUACCGCGGGAGCGACGGCGGAGGCGGCCAUGGCGGAGCGGGGGGUGGAGUCGGUCCUGUUCCGGGGCAAGAAGCUGAUGCCGCAGACCAACGGGGAGCGGCUGGACGGCGUGGCGGAGCAGCUGGUGCGGGAGCAGCACCGGAGGAUGGACAGCAAGACGCCCGUGGUGCUCAUCAAGCCGUCGGCGACGCCCAGGACGUCGUCCUCGUCGGCGUCCACGCUCAUCACCGUGUCCACCAACUCCUCCUCGGAGUCGCCCUGA
rnacentral:rRNA from 1 species